rnacentral:rRNA from 1 species
GACGAACGCUGGCGGCGUGCUUAACACAUGCAAGUCGAACGGUAAAGCGCCUUCCUUUUUGGUGGUUGUGGAUGCGUGGCGAACGGGUGAGUAACACGUGAGUAACCUGCCCCCUUCUACUUGAUAACCGCAUGAAAGUGUGGCUAAUACGGGAUAUUCUGGGUCUGUCGCAUGAUGGGUCUGGGGAAGAUGUUGUUUCGGUGGGGGGUGGGCUGGCGGCCUAUCAGCUUGUUGGUGGGGUGAUGGCCUACCAAGGCGGUGGCGGGGAGCCGGCCUGAGGGGGUGGAGGGCGGCACUGUGGGUGAGGCAAGGCCGAGCCUACUACGGGGGGCAGCAGUGGGGAGUAUUGCACAAUGGGGGCAAGCCUGCUGCAGCGACGCCGCGUCAGGGAUGGAGGCCGUCGGGUUGUGAACCUCUUUCGCCAGUGAAGCAGGCGUGACUUGUUUGUGGGUGGGUUGACGGUAGCUGGAGAAGAAGCGCCGGCUAACUACGUG